CACCUUUUUGUUGCGUUAACGCGCAUUCCAGCCCGCUAAUCGCAAUAAUGGAAAUUAAUAAUCGGUCUGUCGUUAACAUCGUCGCCACCGAAAAUUAAAAUCGUGUGUUGAAAUGCGUUUCGAUCGAACUGAUUCUGUGAACGAUUUCUAAUUAAAAUUGCACCAUUAAUUCGACAGAAAAUAAAGAGCUUAAGUUAGACCAAUAUAUCAGGAAAUUCUGGCAAUGAUUCGAACUGGAAGCUCUUGAAAUUUCCUUCAAUUACCGACACACUGGCAGAGCUUGUAGCUGUCGAGAGCGUUUAACAAGGACCACGUGUGUAAGACAAUUCUCGACGGUUGUUACGGUCCGAGGAUCGUUGCACGAGCAACGACAAACAACAACAGGAUUCAGCUGCCGCUGUUUCUGCCCACGCAACGGCCAACAAAUGUCAGAACUGUAAUCCGGAUGAAAUUAAAGCGCGGAAUUAGCACUGUCAGUUCACAGAGCGCAGCACUCUAAGAUCUUCGCGAAGAAGAGGAAGCAAAGCGGUCGUCAGAAGGGCAGUUGAGAUCUCGCCAAAGGGUGAUUAAUGAACACGGAAGAAGAAGAAGAAGAAGAAGAAGAAGAUGAAGACGAAGAAGAAGAAGUCGAAGAUUCGGCCGCUGUCAGCUGGAACACGAGAUCGUCCGGAGGAAUAUUCUUUUUAGUCCGGUCAUAAAUCCGCGCGGCGAAAUUCGCCGGUUGAACGAGCCGCGAGCGCGAUUAAAUAUUAACUACGUGGCCGAUUAUGUAAUUAAAAGGGUAUUCGUAGUAAUUGGGAGGACGGGGGCUUAACGAGCUUUCUAAAAUUUCCGAAGAUAAUUGCGCGUGCAGCCCGCGUGAUUAUCGGCGGUUCGCUAAUUACGGGCUAACGCGGAUCGUUUCUCUUUUCCAGCUAUUACGCUCCAAGUCGCCGCUCCUCGCCGCGGAAACUGGCAAACGCCUCCACCGGAUCCCGGAACUUCCUUAUCUUGCUUUUCGACUUUCCCUUCGAAACAGGAACUAACAUCGAGAACUUUGUUGCCCAAACUUUGCACCCCGUUUUCGCAUCGAUACGCACCAUCUACCCUCUUGCAUGGAAUCUCUAAUUGUUUCUACGAGCAAAAUUAUUCGAGUCGCUUUCUACGAUUUUGCUGGGCAAAUAUUUACGGUUGAUCAGAAAAUCGGAUUCGAUAAAAUAAAACAAUCGGGUGAAUAUAGAACGCGAACAAUGCAGAUUGAGUUAUAGACGGGACCAUUUAAUGCAGUCAUUAAGGAAUCAUUAAUCUUCCUCCUUAGUGUGCAUGACAACGGAGUCAUUGUUGGAACAGGUGCUACUUAGGAGGCUGAGAUCAUUAGCCGAAUAAAUGGAAUCAGCCCUGCGCGGAAUAAAAGAAUCGAUGAUAGGAAUCUUAACGGGGAACGAACCGUGGCGUUUCUAUAAUUGCGGCAAUUAAGUGAAGUCAAAGUGCGAAUAAAAACUCUGUAUCAUCGGUUUUGACCAUAGCUAAUAACUUCAAUUUUAAAUAUUAUCUGUAAUCAGGAUUUUUGGGAAGGUAACUCUGCUUAGACACUUGUGGAAUUAAUUAUAGUAUGUUUUACAUUUAUGUUUUUAAUGUGUUACAUAUAUUUUAUUCAUACACAUACUCCAAACUUGAUGAGUUACAUGAUACAAUAUAGAUAUUUUAUGUUUUUAAGAAAACUUGUGUAACUUGAAAUAGUCGACAUGUAAAAUAAAGGCAAGUGCAAUUUAAUUAUUAAGAUUUUAUGAUCUCGACUAAAGAUAUCGCACGUGAACUAAAACUACUGUAUCUAAAGAAUUGUAAAUGAAUUUUUAUUUAAAUUUGUGAGGUUAUUUUUACAAUAUAAUGGUAAGAGUGCUAUAUGAAUGAGGUUGGUAAGAGUGCUGAGUGAGUGAAGUUGGUAUGAAUAUAAAAGAAGCGAGAAUCAGAGAUUGCCAGGGUUGGAACAGAGUUUGAAUAAGAAAA
rnacentral:lncRNA from 1 species